AAUUAUUUCUAACUCUCUAUAACACAUUUAAACCAGAACAAAAUGUGAAUGAGAACUCUCCGAAGGAAGUCGGCACCAAUUGUAUACCAUUGAUUUUAACUCUUCAAUUCUUCAUUUUACAGAUUCGAAACAGCACUCGCACUCACUUAAUUUAGUGGGAAAAGUGGCCAUGUUCGGGACUAUUAUUACCACAGUGGCACCGACUAAAAAAAAAAUUUGACCUCACAACAUUGGUCUCCAGCUUUGUCUAGGGAAAAUGGUUUGAAAAAAAAAAGAAUUUUGAUUGUUCAGACAACCAUUACCACUGGCUUUCGGAAAGUCUCAAUCGUUUCGCUGUACAUCCUGUAAUCAUCACAAACAUUUGUUGAAUGUGACUUCAUUGUAAUAAAUAAAGGAAUCUCCCAUGCCUUACAUAGAAGACACACUAUUUCUUGCCAUUAUAUACUGUGAUGUUCUUAACAUCCAUUUGCAUGUUUUACCAUUAAAGUACAAGAUUGUGAUUGUAUUUAGCAUUAAUUUUAUACAGUGACUCGAGUGACCCGUACUUAAGUGAUUUCCUUUUACUUUUAGAUCCACUGAAUUAUUACAUGGGCAUUGAAGCUGCAGAUUUUGAUCCUGAAGAUUUUGCAGAUACUAAUGACGGACACAGUAACUACAUGAAUUUGUUGUUGUCAGCAAAACGAUCGCUACAAAAAUACACACCGACCCUGCUGAAGGGCGCGCGCAUAGAUGAUGACAAAUUAAUAACGGAAGUUUUGGAACGAAAUAGACGAGGUCAGAAGAAAAUGAUCCAAAAAAUAGUCUGUCCGUUUUGUUUUACGUCGGUAGCGCCGCAAAAUAGAUCGGGAACGAGACGGUGGGAUAUUACCAAUUUUAAUCGGCAUUUAAUUAAGAUUCAUGGACAGCAUGUAUAAGUGGCGGCUGUGAAAAUUUAUUUCGAUCAAUAGAAGUUCUUCUGUUACACUAAUUGUAAGUUUUACUGUGUGAUAAAGUUUUGUUGUACUAAAA